rnacentral:rRNA from 1 species
CCUACGGGAGGCAGCAGUGGGGAAUAUUGCACAAUGGGGGAAACCCUGAUGCAGCGACGCCGUGUGAGUGAAUAAGUAAUUCGUUAUGUAAAGCUCUAUCAGCAGGGAAGAAAAUGACGGUACCUGACUAAGCAGCCCCGGCUAACUACGUGCCAGCAGCCGCGGUAAUACGUAGGGGGCAAGCGUUAUCCGGAUUUACUGGGGGUAAAGGGGGCGUAGACGGCAGUGCAAGUCUGGAGGGAAAGGCGGGGGCUUAACCCCCGGACUGCUCUGGAAACUGUACGGCUUGAGUUCAGGAGAGGUAAGUGGAAUUCCUAGUGUAGCGGUGAAAUGCGUAGAUAUUAGGAGGAACACCAGUGGCGAAGGCGGCUUACUGGAGCGUAACUGACGUUGAGGCUCGAAAGCGUGGGGAGCAAACAGGAUUAGAUACCCCGGUAGUC